AUUAAUUUGAUAGGACAUUAGUCCAAAAUCAUAUUGAGACGUCUCAUCGUCUGACAAUUUGUUUCCAAACAGACUCUUUCGAAUAUGUUUGCGAUACAUAAA
rnacentral:misc_RNA from 1 species